CCGGAUGCCGAUCUCGAAAACCUGUCCCAGUUCGGACUGGAGUCUGCAACCCGACUCCACGAAGUUGGAUUCGCUAGUAAUCGCGCAUCAGCCAUGGCGCGGUGAAUACGUUCCCGGGCCUUGUACACACCGCCCGUCAAGCCAUGGGAGCCGGGGGCGCCUGAAGUCCGGGACCGCGAGGACCGGCCUAGGGCGAAACUGGUGACUGGGGCUAAGUCGUAACAAGGUAAC
rnacentral:rRNA from 1 species